rnacentral:rRNA from 1 species
UACGUAGGGGGCAAGCGUUGUCCGGAUUUAUUGGGCGUAAAGAGCGUGUAGGCGGCCAUACAGGUCCGUUGUGAAAACUGGAGGCUUAACCUCCAGACGUCGAUGGAAACCGUAUGGCUAGAGUCCGGAAGAGGAGAGUGGAAUUCCUGGUGUAGCGGUGAAAUGCGCAGAUAUCAGGAAGAACACCCGUGGCGAAGGCGGCUCUCUAGGACGGUACUGACGCUGAGACGCGAAAGCGUGGGGAGCGAACAGG